GGUAUUGGGUUGUGGUUGUGUGGAUAUAAUUGUGAACUCUCCCUUUGUGCAGGCUGAACUGGGAGAAAUGGACAACUGGCAGGAGAACGCAAACGCCUGGGAGGACGAGUCCAACGCUGCCUGGGAGGCGGAGGAGGUGCUUAGACAACAGAAGAUGGCUGAGAGGGAAAAGCGGACCAUGGAGCAGCAGAGGAAGAAGUUGGAGAAAGACGCUCAGAGGAUGAUUAAGAAGGACCAGAAGAUUGCCGUCAAGCUCUCGUAACAUUUUUAGAAUUUUGCUCAAUUUUGAGCCAGAAAGGGAAAGGGAGGGGGCGUGG